UCAGAAAUCACUCAUCAAUUCAUUUAACAAACAGGAAUUUCCGGGAAAUCCCACAAGUUGUAUACAUAUACACAUCCAAGAGGCAAUCAGAGGGAGAGGACCAGAAGUGGUCAGAUUCUACCCCCAGUGCAAUCUGCCUCUUCCCCUCUGCUUCUGUAUCUCUUCAAACAUCGACUUCUACUGCCUCUCAUGGUCUCUGCCUGUUCUCUCAAAAUCUCAGAGUUAUUAGCCGAUGUCACUGAAAAGAAAUACACACGGUAUAGAAAAAUAAGGGAAAGGAGAAAAAGAAAGGGGGAGAAAGGGAGAGAGGAAAGAAGGAGGGGAGGAAGGAAGGGAAGACAUAUGCCCUGCAUGAGAGCAUUUUAACUGUAGCCUUUUUGAGGCUCCUGGGCUUUCUACUAGUUAGUGCCUCAAAUUCCAACGACAGGCUCAGUUCUGACUUCACACCUGUGACAGUUCUCUCAGGCAAAUGUGGAAAGCCCAAGUGUUUCAUCCCAAAGCUGAACUUUUUGCCAGGCUUAGGUGUUUGCUUCUAUUUGGAUCUCAAUGGCAGAAUUAAAACCUUAAUGUCAUCAUUUUUCUCUUUCAGAAACGUGUAAGCGUCCACCACGGCUGAAUCAGGAACAUUUCUGAACCUGAGUCACAGGAGGGCACAUAUCUUUGAAAUCCCCUAACUCAUGCCCAACCAGGAAAGCCCCGAUUUUAUUGUGCAAAUAUAAUGGCCAUAUGAAAUGGAAAGAACUAUAGACCUAGUCGUGGGUGAAGAAAAAUUUUAAUUCCUGAUUCUCGUGCUCCACCAGUAAUCUACAACCCUGAAGUGUCCCAUUAAAAAUAUAUGCAAGGUUAUGCAAAUAUGUACUCUUAAUCACUAGCAGACUUUCCCCCCUAAAUACAAUGCAAAUCCAUCCUGAGUUAUUACAGGCAACACAGAAAAGUAUUUGUACCCAAGCCGAAGAAGGCCUGUAACCUAGAACCAGAAAGAGUGGGCACUUUGUCCUUUCCUCUUGCACCCAUCGACCCUUGGCUCUCUCUGUGCCACCUGUUGAGAGCUGCCAGAUGUCAAAGUGGCCAAUUAGGACAACGAGGAAACUCCAAGUAAUAGUCAAGCUUUUACCCCCUUCCUGUGGGCGUAGAAGAGGCUGGAAAGGACAGAAGCGCUGGCUCCUCACAUUUCCAUCCCCCCACCCCACCCCCGAACAACACUGGGCAAGGGUCAGAUAAAACGCAGCAUAGCUUCGGAAAUUGCGUCUCACCACAAAGAGCACUGAACCAAAGGCUCCUGCCACUUUUAGACUCAGGAGGGAGGUGGGGUGAGAGACAGAGAAGGGCUGGGAGUGGAAAAAUGCCGAGUCCGAGUGGAGAAGAAAGUUUUCAAGACACCCUCUCCCGAUAAAAGGAGGUCUCAGCAGAGGCGACUAAAAAGCAUCUCAGCUGAGGACCCAAUCAGCAGGCCUCCAAAAGGAGGCUCCUGGGCUGGGGGUGCAGGUAUGAAUAUGAGCAUGGCUGCUGGGGCUGGGGGACCUAGUCCUCAACUGCCAUUGCUCCCAGAAAGUGCCAGGUGCUGGCUGGCACCAAGUCUCUGGUGUGGGGAGGGCAGCCUUCUCUGCGGGGCCUUCCUGGCAAAGCCUUUGUAAUUUCCUGUGCUUGGACAUAAGGGAUCAUAUGUAGGAAUGUGGCCUGGAGUUAGACCCUCAUAUCUCCCCAGGGUGGAGAGACAUUCCACCCUUUGCGAUUAAACAAAUGCAAGGACAAGGGUGUGCGUCCUACAAUUCAGAUUUAUGCUUCUUAUGUCUAGUUUCUGCCACUAUGGAAAAGAGCCCAGUCACUGUCCUUGCAUCUGUAGCCACAAAUUAAUAAUUGGGGCGGGGGGAGCAGGAAGGAGCCUGUAGUCAAUAUUCAUCCACUCAAAAGUCAGGUUGACCUGCUGACUCAGUGGGAUUAAACAAAGAGUUAGAAUCAAGAAGCUUUACUGUCUCUCAGAGUGGAGGGGACCAGACUUGUUAAAAAAUGUGUCCUAUUUUCCGCUACGUGGUGCCUUAAGGUCAUUUCUCAGUGCUGCUUCUCUGUUUUCCCACUGGAACUAACCUAAAAGUUGCCUUAAUCAAGCAAUGAUUUUAUCAAUUAUCUUGUUUUCCCAGAGUUAUAUUUUUAAAUAUCAAAAUCAUACAUUAAUUGAUUUGAAAGAGAGAUUAUACAAUGCAGUCAACUGAAAAGAUCCAAUUCAUUCUAACUUAUAAAAAUGGUGAUUUAUUUAUUUAUUUUUUGCAUCUCAGGGCUGCACCUGCGGCACAUGGAGGUUCCCAAACUAGGGGUCUAAUCGAAGCUACUGCUGCCGGCCUACGCCACAGCCACAGCAACACCAGAUCCNAAAGCAGCGACCGCAUGAUAGGCCAAAAUUGGAAAUGGUCAAACUUGACCAUAUAUUGAAAUGCUCUAUAUUAGCUACUAGAUUUUUAAAUUAAAAAAAAAAACCACUUCCCAUAAGCAAAUCAUUUUGUUUUACAAAGAAAAAAUAAUUUUCCCCAAUACAUUUUCUACAAUCUUCCUUAAUGUCUUCUCCAGUCCUACCAAGUCUGUGGUAGGGUUUUAGGGUGAAUCUCAUUGUUUUUUCAGUAACUACUUUCUUUGCAUUUUUCACUGAAUGAGCUUAAUUCUUCUCCUACGUUGAAAAGUUGACUAUUUCAAUUCUAUGUGUCAUGUUUCACAUCUUUUUAAGUUCUAGCAGGUUAAGAGGAUACAUAAGAAUAUAUGAAAAGUGUAAAAAGCAAAUCCACAGAUCCCGGGCAGGUUCUGGUGUGUCUUGUAAGAUAAGCAUCAGUUUUAGUGUGCAAUAGCCUUUUCCAAACAAACACAACAUACAGUGAUUUAUUUUUAUCCCAGUUAUGAGGCUGCAGGAAAAAAGAGAGAUAGAUGAAAAAGAGAGUGAAUAUAUAUUAUUGGUGAUAGUUUCACCACGGUAUUCAUUGACUUUAGUUGCAAAGAGAUACU
rnacentral:lncRNA from 1 species